UUGAACGCUGGCGGCAUGCCUUACACAUGCAAGUCGAACGGCAGCACGGGAGCAAUCCUGGUGGCGAGUGGCGAACGGGUGAGUAAUAUAUCGGAACGUGCCCAGUCGUGGGGGAUAACGUAGCGAAAGCUACGCUAAUACCGCAUACGAUCUAUGGAUGAAAGCGGGGGAUCGCAAGACCUCGCGCGAUUGGAGCGGCCGAUAUCAGAUUAGGUAGUUGGUGAGGUAAAGGCUCACCAAGCCGACGAUCUGUAGCUGGUCUGAGAGGACGACCAGCCACACUGGGACUGAGACACGGCCCAGACUCCUACGGGAGGCAGCAGUGGGGAAUUUUGGACAAUGGGCGCAAGCCUGAUCCAGCAAUGCCGCGUGCAGGAUGAAGGCCUUCGGGUUGUAAACUGCUUUUGUACGGAGCGAAACGGUGAGCUCUAAUACAGUUUGCUAAUGACGGUACCGUAAGAAUAAGCACCGGCUAACUACGUG
rnacentral:rRNA from 1 species